rnacentral:rRNA from 1 species
CCGACGGUGAGGGGUGAAAGCUGGGGGCACGAACCGGAUUAGAUACCCGGGUAGUCCCAGCCGUAAACGAUGCUCGCUAGGUGUCUGGGAUGGUGCGACCGUUUCAGGUGCCGCAGGGAAGCCGUGAAGCGAGCCACCUGGGAAGUACGGCCGCAAGGCUGAAACUUAAAGGAAUUGGCGGGGGAGCACUACAACGGGUGGAGCCUGCGGUUUAAUUGGACUCAACGCCGGAAAACUCACCUAGGGC